CUUAGAGAACAUCAAGGGACGACAUUAACAAGGAGAGAUUCAUGCAACCACCCUCCUCCCAAAAAUAGCAAACUUGUCCACUUCCUCCUCCACAAUUCAAGGGUCAGCCACUCAAGGGAGAAAAUGAAGGGAUUCCCUUGCUAAAAAUAGAAAGAGAUGUUGGGGCUUGAACAAGUAUAAAUAGGGGUAUUCAUUCAUUCAUUCGGAGGACACCAGAUUCGGGAAACACACCAGAAUUAAGAGAAAAUUCGAGAGAGAGUUCUUCAAUUCAAGAAAUCGCAAUAUUUUUUAGAGCAGUUGAGAAGUAGAAACUUGAGUGCAUAAAGGAGAGAUUGAUGCCUAAAAGAGGAGGAGAGUGAUUGUGAGAAACAAGCAAGAAGCGAUUGCAGAAAAUCCCAUGCAUCCGACUUUUAUCUCUUCUUAUUCUACAUUAUCCAAGGAUAACACCCUUGACAUUUCUUCUUCCCUUUCUAUUAGCUUUAUUUUUCUUUUAUUGUUGACAAACGAGAUUGCAACUCAUCUUUGUAUUUUUCAUUCAAUGAUUAGGACUUAAUUCCGUUUCGCUAGAAUGAUUAUGAAUCUUUAAGUCUGUAUUUUGACUUUAUGUUAAGGAUGUUUUGUGCAAGAGAUUAUUCAUUCAUUC
rnacentral:lncRNA from 1 species